UACGUAGGGUCCAAGCGUUAUCCGGAAUCACUGGGCGUAAAGCGUGCGUAGGUGGCGUGUUAAGUGUGAUGUUAAAUCGUGUGGCUCAACCAUAUCGAUGUGUCGCAUACUGGCAUGCUAGAGGACAGCAGAGGCAAGUGGAAUUAGUAGUGUAGCAGUGAAAUGCGUAGAUAUUACUAGGAACACCAAUGGCGAAGGCAGCUUGCUGGGCUACUCCUGACACUGAGGUACGAAAGCGUGGGGAGCGAAC
rnacentral:rRNA from 1 species